ensembl:lncRNA
AAAGUAGCAUAACAAAACUAGUUUGCAUUCAUCCUGUGUCUCCUUACACACUUGUGCUCUUUAUCCGCUCAAAACGCUAUAGAGCGAACGAGAAGGCACUAGGAGCAAAGGAAAGUGGUUUUUCUAAUAAACUCAUAUAAUCAAUUGCCCGACCUACUCCAAUAUGAUAUUUUUCACAUAGUUACACAUAAUAUAGUACUUUGAAUUGUUUCUGACCAAAAAUAUUAGGAAAUAUGAUUGUUUACAUUAAAAUGUAAAAGUUGAUGUUAAAGUGUGAUAAGGUGAAAAAAGUGACAUUUUAUGUCUAGAAACUCACUUUUCAUCAAAAGUCAUCACCUUUAGAUGAGGCUACACGGACGUUCCGCACAAUGGAGUCCCCGACGAUCACAGCGUUAGGUCUGGUCUGACGGAGAGGGGCGAAGCGGUUCCCGGUUGGAAUCUCGAACACCGGAGGUGGAGAGCUCCUCACCUGUGGUCCAGCCCGCGCCUUCCGCCACUGGUUCACCCAAGGCCUGAGGAGUGUUGGCGGCGGCGUGACGGAGACCACGGCUGGGAAAGUCCUAGGUGCACGGUCCCUGCACAAAAACACACGACGUAGAGGGCCUGGGAGUGAAAAUACCAUGCUGUGUGCUUACCUUGGAUAUGUGGGCAGAGGCACAAGAUGUUUCCAGCUCAGUUUGUCGCUCCAGCAGCUGGGCCUGCUUGUUGAGUAGGCCACGGAUCUGCUUCUCCAAAUCCUCCAGUUCUAGCCGCACCAUGUGAAGCUCGAGCGAGUCCUCAUCUGCACUCAAAACCGGAGAGACAGCAGACAUAUUUGUUUUUUUAAACAAAACAGCGGUAAAUGAGAAAUAAGGAAUGUUAACAAGGCUAGCAGUAGGUAAUGCUAGCGGGCUACGGGCUACAAGCUAGUCGCGGAUGUAUGUAAAAACAGAUGAAAUUUAGUUACAGCGCAACGUUACGAUUGUUUUAUCUAAAGUAGUGUCAGUUAUCAAACUGAUACUAAACUGAUACCAAAUCAAUUUAAGGUGUGU